rnacentral:rRNA from 1 species
UCACAGAACCAUUCUCAGACUCUGAACACAUUCAGUCUUGUCUGAUUUUGGAAACUAAGCAGGGUCAGGCCUGGUUGGUACUUAGAUGGGAGGCCAUCUGAGAAUGCCAAGAACCUUGAGUU